rnacentral:rRNA from 1 species
AUACGUGGGGGGCAAGCGUUAAUCGGCAUUACUGGGCGUAAAGCGUGCGCAGGCGGUUUUGUAAGUCAGAGGUGAAAUCCCCGGGCUCAACCUGGGAACUGCCUUUGUGACUUCAAAGCUAGCGUCCCGCAGACGGGGAUGGAAGUCCCCGGGUAGCAGUGAAAAGCGUAGAUAUGCGGAGGAACACCGAUGGCGAAGGCAAUCCCCUGGGCCUGUACUGACGCUCAUGCACGAAAGCGUGAGGAGCAAACAGGAUUAGAUACCCUGGUAGUCCACGCCCUAAACGAUGUCAACUGGUUGUUGGGUCUUCAUUGACUCAGUAACGAAGCUAACGCGUGAAGUUGACCGCCUGGGGAGUACGGCCGCAAGGUUGAAACUCAAAGGAAUUGGCGGGG